CCCUGGUUAGCUCAGUUGGUAGAGCGCUCCACUUUUAACGGAGUUGUCCGGGUUCGAUACCCGAACCAGGCG
rnacentral:tRNA from 2 species